AAUAAAGAAACCCAGCCCAAACCGACCAAACCAUGUGGCCCCUUAGACACCGGUUCGGGUGAGUCGGUUUUUCGGUUUGACGGUUUGAAUAAUCUUGGGUUCACAUGGGUUAAACCGGUCGGUUUAGGUUUGAAUUUAUGGACCCGAUGAUAUCCUAAACCGACCGGUUCAGUAGAAAUUAUGUUAUAGACCAUAAAUUCCUAAAUCAACCGGCCGGCCCAACCAAAACCAAGACUCUCUCUCAGUCUCAAAUCUCAAUUCAUUAGUUCCACUUCUUCGUGAGAUUCAUACGCACAAACAGCAACGUUACUCCGCUAGGGUUCAUCAUUCUCUCAGUUCGUGGUUUCAUCGUUUAACGAAGAACCGUCGCCGUCCAUUAUUCAACCACAAAUCACCACCGAUAUUGAUUUUGUGAAGGUGUUGUCGGUAAAUAUUGUUCCUACUCAGCUCGCCGACAACUUCCGGAAUAAGAAGCCUGAGGAAAAUUAUUGGUGCGCGUUGGUAUAUUAAAGGAUAUGAAGUAGAAUUCGAUUAUGGUUCCAGUCCCACAACUAUUGGUUUAGAGGUUAUUAAUAGGCCCACAACUCUUGUUGUGAAGAGAUUGAUCUUUGAGACAGUAACCUUGAGGUGGAAGUUGAAUCAUUCUCUUUCGGAGUAACAAC